AUUGAACGCUGGCGGAAUGCUUUACACAUGCAAGUCGAACGGCAGCACGAGGGCAACCCUGGUGGCGAGUGGCGAACGGGUGAGUAAUACAUCGGAACGUGCCCAGUCGUGGGGGAUAACUACGCGAAAGCGUAGCUAAUACCGCAUACGAUCUACGGAUGAAAGCGGGGGAUCGCAAGACCUCGCGCGAUUGGAGCGGCCGAUGGCAGAUUAGGUAGUUGGUGAGGUAAAGGCUCACCAAGCCUGCGAUCUGUAGCUGGUCUGAGAGGACGACCAGCCACACUGGGACUGAGACACGGCCCAGACUCCGACGGGAGGCAGCAGUGGGGAAUUUUGGACAAUGGGCGCAAGCCUGAUCCAGCCAUUCCGCGUGCAGGAUGAAGGCCCUCGGGUUGUAAACUGCUUUUGUACGGAACGAAACGCGCUGAGUUAAUACCUCGGCGUAAUGACGGUACCGUAAGAAUAAGCACCGGCUAACUACGUGCCAGCCGCCGCAGUAACAC
rnacentral:rRNA from 1 species